AUUUCCCUUCCCCUCCAAGAGCCCUUUCUGACCCCUGACUCCUUUCUUUAGCAGCCCUCAAAUGGUUUUCGUGGGUGGAACAUCUCCCUGCGUUUCAGAGGACAUCAGCGCACGUGGUUUCUUUCCUGGCCGCCGCGGCCCACUUGGUCAGUUUCCUCCUAGUUUUGGCCUGGGGCCCUCCCGCCGGGGCUCUGCCGGGUCUGCGGGUCGGGGCGGUCUUUUCACCCCGGAGGAGAGAAAGCAGAGAUUGGAAGCUCGCGCGCUCGGGCGGGGCCUGUCCACCGAGCCCGGCGAGGCUCGGAGGGCCUCGGAGGUGGACGCGCCCCGGCUAUUCCUCCGCGGCUGGGGCUGCUCCGGACGUCCCGCGUCUGGGGCCCGGGAUUCAGCCUGCAAGGAAAUUUUGGUUGUGAGGCAUGCUGGAACCUUACCAGCCAACAGACACGAAGGGGAGGAAGUCCAGGCGGGGCCAGGAAUGAGACUGUGGGAAUUGACCAGAAGGCGGCACCAUGGCUUAGCUUUCAUGUCAGACAGAUCUGCGUGGGCACCCUGCUUCCCUGAGCCUCAGUUUCUUUGCUGGAGGUGGAGUGGAGGUGAGAGUUGAAUCAAAGAAUGUCAUGCCUGGCACACAGUAAGGGCUCCAGAUGGGAGUUCUGCUCUUUUUUCUCUUUCCCUGAGUGGCUAGAAGUCUAAUGAGUGUCUUAAGGGUGAGGUGAACUGAGGUUUUGUCCAGCCUAUGGUUGGUCUAACUUGAGGGAUAGAUGGUCUUCAGUGAGAAUCUAAGUUAGAGCUUGGAGUUAAAGAGACUUGGCCUAGCUCUGAGAGAUGAGGGACAAGGGCUGGCCAAAGAAAGAUUGUCCAGAUCCUGAGGCUUCUGGGCUCAGGGUUGGGCUUUAAUCUGAACUUUGAUCAGUGAAGAAGCUGAC
rnacentral:lncRNA from 1 species